rnacentral:misc_RNA from 1 species
GAUGCCAAGUAUUCUGGGAGGAUCAACUUACAAGGGAAAGCAAAGACAAUGUAGUGGUGUGCAAGAGCCUACAAGGAGAUGCUUUGCUUCUAUGCUUUGGAAAGGAAAGCUAAAUAAAGAGGGAAAAGAAAAGAAAGCAGAGAAAACAUAUAGGGAGAGACAGGAAUAGAACAUAAAAGGGUGGUCUGCUUUGAGCCCAAGCUUCUUUCUUUUUCACUUGCAAUCUCAAGAAAAUCUUGAAAAUGGACCAGAG